rnacentral:rRNA from 1 species
AUUGAACGCUGGCGGCAGGCUUAACACAUGCAAGUCGAACGAGUGGCGGACGGGUGAGUAAUGCUUGGGAAUCUGGCUUAUGGAGGGGGAUAACGACGGGAAACUGUCGCUAAUACCGCGUACCAUAGGAUGAGCCCAAGUGGGAUUAGGUAGUUGGUGGGGUAAUGGCCUACCAAGCCGACGAUCUCUAGCUGGUCUGAGAGGAUGACCAGGCAAACCGGGACUGAGAAACGGCCCGGACUCCUACGGGAGGCAGCAGGGGGGAAUAUUGAGCAAUGGGGGCAACCCGACGGCGCCAUGCCGCGGGAAUGAAGAAGGCCUUUGGGUUGUAAAGUUCUUUCGGUGAGGAGGCCUUAAUCACAGAAGAAGGAACGGCUAACUCCGGUGCCGGCGCCGCGGUAAUAC